AACGAACGCUGGCGGCGUGCUUAACACAUGCAAGUCGAACGGUAAGGCCCUUCGGGGUACACGAGUGGCGAACGGGUGAGUAACACGUGGGUGAUCCGCCCUGCACUUCGGGAUAAGCCUGGGAAACUGGGUCUAAUACCGGAUAGGACUCCUGGCUUCAUGGUUGGGGGUGGAAAGCUUUUGCGGUGGGGGAUGGGACCGCGGCCUAUCAGCUUGUUGGUGGGGUAAUGGCCUACCAAGGCGACGACGGGUAGCCGGCCUGAGAGGGUGACCGGUCACACUGGGACUGAGAUACGGCCCAGACUCCUACGGGAGGCAGCAGUGGGGAAUAUUGCACAAUGGGCGCAAGCCUGAUGCAGCGACGCCGCGUGAGGGAUGACGGCCUUCGGGUUGUAAACCUCUUUCAGCUAUGACGAAGCGCAAGUGACGGUAGUAGCAGAAGAAGGACCGGCCAACUACGUGCCAGCCGCCGCCGUAAAAC
rnacentral:rRNA from 1 species